UACGAAGGGGGCUAGCGUUGUUCGGAAUUACUGGGCGUAAAGCGCGCGCAGGCGGUUCUUCAAGUCAGAGGUGAAAGCCCAGAGCUCAACUCUGGAAUGGCCUUUGAGACUAGAGAACUAGGGUACGGGAGAGGUGAGUGGAAUUCCGAGUGUAGAGGUGAAAUUCGUAGAUAUUCGGAAGAACACCAGUGGCGAAGGCGGCUCACUGGCACGUUACCGACGCUCAGGCGCGACAGCGUGGGGAGCAAACAGG
rnacentral:rRNA from 1 species